GAUGAAGAACGUAGCGAAAUGCGAUAAGUAGUGUGAAUUGCAGAAUUCAGUGAAUCAUCGAAUCUUUGAACGCACAUUGCGCCCCUUGGUAUUCCAUGGGGCAUGCCUGUUCGAGCGUCAUUUGUACCUUCAAGCUCUGCUUGGUGUUGGGUGUUUGUCCUUGCUCUAGUGGCGGGACUCGCCUUAAAGUAAUUGGCAGCCAGUGUUUUGGUUUUGAAGCGCAGCACAAGUCGCGAUUCAAGUCUAUACGCUAGUUUCCUCAAGUCUUUUAUCACUUUUGACCUCGGAUCAGGUAGGGAUACCCGCUGAACUUAAGCAUAUCAAUAAGCGGAGGA
rnacentral:misc_RNA from 1 species